rnacentral:lncRNA from 1 species
UCCUCAUAUAUAUAAGUAUAUAUCAUUAAUAACAAUAUAUACUAUAUAUGAUAUACGAUAUUAUUUAUUUCUUUUAUAGAUAAAUAAUAUAUAUANNNNNNNNNNAAAAAUCAAUUACCAUCUUUUCUUCUCUCUUCACUCAAUCUACUGAAAUUCUAGACGAAGAGCCUUUCCUGUCGUUCUCCUCCGCCACCGCAGCCAACGAGAUAGAGUUUCGGCGGUUGCUAAAUACUUAAAUAAGUGUUGGUAAAUUAGCAGCACUCUUUUAGGUUAUAGCGACACUCUUUAACUGUCACUAUAUACCUAGCGACCCCACAUAUAGCAACACUUUUUAAAAGUGUCGGUAAUUUUAGCUAGCAGCACUUUUUUGACAUGUAGCUACAUUUAAAAGUAUCGCUAUAGACCGUUUUUGUUGUAGUGGAGUAGAUAACUGAAUAAAAAAAAAGAAAACGGUGAUAAAAGAAAAGGAAAUGGCAAUGGAAGAAACGACUAUGAGCGGCGAUUCAUCUUGUUGAUGAAAAACGAUAAGAGCAGAAGGAGUAGAGGUGUGACAUGUUUCGAUUCAAGUAAAAAGACGAAAAACUCGGUUUAGUUCAAACAAAAAGAAGAAAAACUUAAGUCAGUUCGGACGUAGUUCACACUCGACAGUGAUCGAUUCAAUUCAAGCAAAAAAAAAAGAAAUAUUCAGUCAAAGAUGGAAACAUACGGAGUAGUUGGGCUGGGUUUAGCUCGAUGCAUUGGUUCAGUUCAAAUAAAGAAAGAUAAAAAUAUGUGGAAGACUUGAGCUUGUUUGGGAGAGCUCACACUCAACAAUGAUCAAUUCGGUUUAAGCCAAAAAAAAAAAAAAAAUCUGAUUCGGCUCAAGCAAAAGAAGAGAAAAAUAUGUGGAGGACUUGAGCUGGUUCGAGAUAAAACCCACACUCAACAAUGAAGUAAACGUUGUUAUAUGGCAAAUUUAAGAGGAAUAAUGUAUAGAUAUAGAUAGAUAGACGGUUUGGAUUUGCCUAUUCAACCUUUCAAAAUUUUAAUUUUUCUACUUAACCUUUCAACUUGUUGGAGUUGAAUCAAUCAAUCACAAUUUGACUCCAAAAUUAGAGUUGUAAGAAUUGUCUUGAAAUAUAUUAACUAAAUCUGUAAAGAUAAAUGGAAAUGUCGUUGACUAAUUCAAAUCAAAUAAGUUGAAAGAUUAGAUAGUAAAAUUAAAAUUUUGGAUGGUUGGAUAGCAAAAUCUGAAU